rnacentral:rRNA from 1 species
AUUGAACGCUGGCGGCAUGCCUUACACAUGCAAGUCGAACGGCAGCACGGGUGCUUGCACCUGGUGGCGAGUGGCGAACGGGUGAGUAAUACAUCGGAACAUGUCCUGUAGUGGGGGAUAGCCCGGCGAAAGCCGGAUUAAUACCGCAUACGAUCUACGGAUGAAAGCGGGGGACCUUCGGGCCUCGCGCUAUAGGGUUGGCCGAUGGCUGAUUAGCUAGUUGGUGGGGUAAAGGCCUACCAAGGCGACGAUCAGUAGCUGGUCUGAGAGGACGACCAGCCACACUGGGACUGAGACACGGCCCAGACUCCUACGGGAGGCAGCAGUGGGGAAUUUUGGACAAUGGGCCAAAGCCUGAUCCAGCAAUGCCGCGUGUGUGAAGAAGGCCUUCGGGUUGUAAAGCACUUUUGUCCGGAAAGAAAUCCUUGGCCCUAAUACGGUCGGGGGAUGACGGUACCGGAAGAAUAAGCACCGGCUAACUACGUG